UGUGUCUUAGAAGAAGUUUUAUGAGCUCUCAUAGCAGGCAGGAUUUGUUUUUUUUUCUCUGACAUUUAUUGGUAUUCUAUCAUUUCUUCUUACUGUAUAUUUCUAAAUUGGGACAGGCUCGAGUACAUAUGCUUGCAGCUGAACAGGGGAAGGUGGAGGAACGUUUGUACCUCAGAAUACAGUAUACCAGUAGCACACACAGUCUGCCCUUCCUGCCUUCAAAGUCAGUGGUGGAUUAUUCAUCCUUGCACACAGUGUGGCAUGUGAGAGGAACGUGGGGGGAGGCUCUCUCCAGUUCUCAUUUCUCUCUCUGCUCAUCUGGUAGAGCCAGCACUGGGGAGACCUUUCCCCCACCCCUGUGCUCGGUGUGAAUUCUGCUCAAAGGUGCACCAGAUGUAUUUUAUUCACUCUUAUACCCCUCCAGGGUCAAAUUGCAAUCUGGCCUUUUGAUUCUGUCCUCUUUGGAAUAGGAACAUUGUCCUCUUCAUGAAUGUAAUGUGCGAUAUAAAUGACAAAACAUCCUAGUUAAAUAAUGAUAUCUCCAGCAGCACAGUGUCCCCUGGUACCAUGUUAGAGCAUUAAUCCAGAAAUGACUUGGAUUCCCAUUUGCUAAACCACAGCCACCAUGCAGUGGCUGCACACACUGUAGGUUUUGCUUAUUGCUGUCCGUAAUUUAGUAUCAAACAAGAAACAUCCAUUUUGUUUUCUGCAUACCAUUUUGGUGAUGAGACCGUACUGUUCCUUCACUUUUGCUUUUCCUGCUUGUUGAGACCAAGCAUCUUGGAUGCAGGACAAACAGCACAGGAAUAUCAGUGGUCAUUAAUAUUAAAUACUUUGCUUUAGCAGUAUAGCAGGAAUGCUAAUAAUGAUGACUGAUCUUUGAGAAACCCUUUUUUUCCUGCCUGAAUUUGAAGUGGCCACUAACCAGACAACAGAUCACAUGGGGAAGGGUACCAUGAAGCUGAGAGGUGAUGGAUAAAUUCUCUUCUGUCUCUUUGCUGAUUGGAAUAAGCAGGAAAAAAAGAAACCAACCAAACAAAACAGCAGAUAGAAGAGAAGAAAAGUCCCGAGACUCUGGAAGAGAUCAUUAGAACUCAAAUGACUCUUGGGUGAAGGGAAGAAUUUUUCCUAGAUUGUGGUUUUGGCAAGAUCCAUAAUUCAUGCUUUCACUUUGAAAAGACCUUGGCUUUUUACAUAUCAAGGUCGUCACAUUCCCUUGUUGAGUUGGCUCACAUCGUCAAAAUGCAUCUUAAUCACACGAGUUUCAUUUUAGAUGGUCUGUUUAGGAAGGAAUAGGAAAUGGACUGGCAAUGUGAGAGAAGGUGUGUUAAAGGAGAGGAAGUAUGGGAAGCAGCAACACAAGAGAACAAAUAGUGCAAAUAAAAACUGUUCUGAGACCAGCAGUUCCAGCUUUGUUGGCUUUUCUUCAGCAUCAAGUGUUGCGGCCUUUCUUUUCUCAGGUGCCUUCUUCCAAUCCUACACAGGUAGAGAGAGGCAAGGAAAAGGACAACACAGAAAAUGAUACAGGAGCUACAAGACUUCCUCACGGGGAAAUGCUUUUUACUGUGAUAUAGCUCUAAAGAAUGUGAGCUCCAAACGCUAAUAUUCUGAGCUCAGAAAUCUUCUGAAAGAAACAAAACCACAAAGUGGAAGAAAAACCGUGAUCGAAUAUUCUCUGAGUAAGUGGACUUGGACAGAAAACAAGAUACGCUGACUAGAGAAAGUUUAAAAAGUGAUUGUUUAGAAAGUGAUUGUUUAACGCAGAACAACAGUGCAUACCUUUGGUGUAUUUAAUAUGAAUCCAUAAUCCUCAUGUGUGCCAUCUAUCUCUAUUACAGAUUCUUCCAAGCAUUCCUGGCCCAAAGGGUCGGUAUUUUAUUUUAUUCUUUCAAAAAAGAGAAUUCUAAGAAUUAUGGUGGAUUUUUGACGAUUUCAGUACUUUGAAAUACCCUCUCCACUCUCAUUCCCGAGCCAACAGUACAUCUGAUUAAACAUCAGGCCUGAUAGUCUGGCUGCCUUUGCAAAAGAAAACGCAAGAAAAUCAUCCAGCCUACACUGCUCUGAGGCUGUUCUAUCCUCUGCUUUUCAUUUCCAGUUGCAUUCUUGCUAAAGAGGAUCAGAGCAGUUGUGCUUACAGUGGUGAACUGUAGCAGAUAAAUUCGUGAUUUCAUUACUCUUUGACUUCUGUUUAUGAAGUAGGAUACGUUUUGUUGUUUUCUGAUUUUUACGUUAUUUAUUUUUUUAAGUGCUCUCUUUGAAAUUAUUUGCUGAAUUAUUCUUUGUUGGCUCUCGGGUGAUGCGUUUGUUUUGAACAUUAUGUGGCUGUGAGGCGCAGCCCGGUUGUGUCUAGACAUGUAACAAGCUUCUGCUUUCAUCCUGACUAUAACUUUCAGUAGCUGUUGCAACUGUCCAGAUUACACGUUUACUGAAGACACUAUGCAAAUUUUGAGACUGAACAUAGUUGUCUGUUAACUUUAUCUUAGCUUUUGUUACUGUUUCAAUUACUGACUUCUCCAGGAAUUCACCAGAAUUAAUUGAUUGCAGAAAUCAAAUUGCUGGGAUCAAACCCACCACUGUGAAUUGGAAAGUUUUCCUCAAGCUACUGUUUCUGUCUGCUCCCUGGAUUGCAGAGGGGGAAAAAAAAAACAACACCAUAAUUGUUAAGCUGAAAGUAUUUUGAUUGCAAAUCUUAAAAGCUUGAUGAAUAUCCAUCAUGUUUCUGUCCCGAACUCAAAUUCUGCAUUCUCAAGUAUGGAGAUUCCUGGUUUUCUGAGGCUGGACAAGCCAGGCGAUACCCUGCUGUGCAUGCUCUCUUCUGCCUUUCACAUUAUGGCACAUAUCCUAAGAUAUAUGAUUUUGUCUUCCAAAUGCUUUGGCCUCAGCGCUAUGGUUGAAAUCCACUGUAGAUCUCGACAACCGUGCACACAUUUUCACGCUAGUAUGAAGCUCCCAGCUACUGCCCUGUCAUUGCUAGUGAGCCAUUAUCCCCUCCUGCCAGGUAUGAGUUUAUCCUCCACUUCACUUAGGUAUGAGUUUAUCCUCCACUUCCCUGCCUCCUUCUUCAUUGCUUUUAUUAAGUAACUUCAGUAAACAGUAUCAUAGGAUAAACAGCAAAGGAAAAAUGUACAUGAAGAGUGGGACAAGAAGUCAAAAUAUGGCAAAUGCUCAUGGAAUUUUUCAUUGUUUUGACAGAAAUCUGUCAUUUUUCAACAGGAAAUAUGGAGUCAUAGAUGCAUUAGGACGUGUAAAAUAGCAGACUUUAAAUAAACACCAGGUCUCCAAGGAACUCAGAAACCAUUACCUCAGAUAUUAUCCCAAAGUUACCAACUCUCUGCAGGAAAAUUUCAGCAAAUACCAUAAAACUGUGUCCUAAC